UAAUUCAAACAAAAAGCCCAAAAAAAAAUGUAUUAUAUAAAAUAAUACAAUGUUGGUUUGUUUGAUUUAAUAGUUUCAUCGCUGGGUUUUACAGCUCAGUUAGAACUAGAGUACAAUACAGAUUUGCCAAAAUUAAUUUUUUGGCUAGGAGAUUUGAUUAAUUUAAUAAAAUCAUCCGAAAAUGUAUUAUAUUUUAUAUGCAUGCGUUUUAUUACACAUACAUAUAACCAAUA
rnacentral:misc_RNA from 1 species